rnacentral:rRNA from 1 species
GAUGAACGCUGGCGGCGUGCCUAAUACAUGCAAGUCGAGCGAACAGAUGAGGAGCUUGCUCCUCUGACGUUAGCGGCGGACGGGUUAGUAACACGUGGAUAACCUACCUAUAAGACUGGGAUAACUUCGGGAAACCGGAGCUAAUACCGGAUAAUAUAUUGAACCGCAUGGUUCAAUAGUGAAAGACGGUUUUGCUGUCACUUAUAGAUGGAUCCACGCCGCAUUAGCUAGUUGGUAAGGUAACGGCUUACCAAGGCAACGAUGCGUAGCCGACCUGAGAGGGUGAUCGGCCACACUGGAACUGAGACACGGUCCAGACUCCUACGGGAGGCAGCAGUAGGGAAUCUUCCGCAAUGGGCGAAAGCCUGACGGAGCAACGCCGCGUGAGUGAUGAAGGUCUUCGGAUCGUAAAACUCUGUUAUUAGGGAAGAACAAAUGUGUAAGUAACUAUGCACGUCUUGACGGUACCUAAUCAGAAAGCCACGGCUAACUACGUG